rnacentral:rRNA from 1 species
AUUGAACGCUGGCGGCAGGCUUAACACAUGCAAGUCGAGCGGGGUGAUGGUGCUUGCACUAUCACUUAGCGGCGGACGGGUGAGUAAUGCUUAGGAAUCUGCCUAUUAGUGGGGGACAACAUCUCGAAAGGGAUGCUAAUACCGCAUACGUCCUACGAGAGAAAGCAGGGGAUCACUUGUGACCUUGCGCUAAUAGAUGAGCCUAAGUCGGAUUAGCUAGUUGGUGGGGUAAAGGCCUACCAAGGCGACGAUCUGUAGCGGGUCUGAGAGGAUGAUCCGCCACACUGGGACUGAGACACGGCCCAGACUCCUACGGGGGGCAGCAGUGGGGAAUAUUGGACAAUGGGGGGAACCCUGAUCCAGCCAUGCCGCGUGUGUGAAGAAGGCCUUAUGGUUGUAAAGCACUUUAAGCGAGGAGGAGGCUCUUUUGGUUAAUACCCAAGAUGAGUGGACGUUACUCGCAGAAUAAGCACCGGCUAACUCUGUGCCAGCCGCCGCCGUAA